rnacentral:rRNA from 1 species
AUAUCAAUAAGCGGAGGAAAAGAAACCAACAGGGAUUGCCUCAGUAACGGCGAGUGAAGCGGCAACAGCUCAAAUUUGAAAUCUGGCCUUCUGGUCCGAAUUGUAAUUUGUAGAGGAUGCUUCGGGCGUGGUUCAGUCUAAGUUCCUUGGAACAGGACGUCAUAGAGGGUGAGAAUCCCGUAUGCGACUGAGUGCCUAAGCCUAUGUGAAGCUCCUUCGACGAGUCGAGUUGUUUGGGAAUGCAGCUCAAAAUGGGUGGUAAAUUUCAUCUAAAGCUAAAUAUUGGCCAGAGACCGAUAGCGCACAAGUAGAGUGAUCGAAAGAUGAAAAGCACUUUGGAAAGAGAGUUAAACAGUAC